AGAGUUUGAUCCUGGCUCAGGAUGAACGCUAGCUACAGGCUUAACACAUGCAAGUCGAGGGGCAGCAUGGUCUUAGCUUGCUAAGGCCGAUGGCGACCGGCGCACGGGUGAGUAACACGUAUCCAACCUGCCGUCUACUCUUGGACAGCCUUCUGAAAGGAAGAUUAAUACAAGAUGGCAUCAUGAGUCCGCAUGUUCACAUGAUUAAAGGUAUUCCGGUAGACGAUGGGGAUGCGUUCCAUUAGAUAGUAGGCGGGGUAACGGCCCACCUAGUCUUCGAUGGAUAGGGGUUCUGAGAGGAAGGUCCCCCACAUUGGAACUGAGACACGGUCCAAACUCCUACGGGAGGCAGCAGUGAGGAAUAUUGGUCAAUGGACGAGAGUCUGAACCAGCCAAGUAGCGUGAAGGAUGACUGCCCUAUGGGUUGUAAACUUCUUUUAUAAAGGAAUAAAGUCGGGUAUGCAUACCCGUUUGCAUGUACUUUAUGAAUAAGGAUCGGCUAACUCCGUGCCAGCAGCCGCGGUAAUACGGAGGAUCCGAGCGUUAUCCGGAUUUAUUGGGUUUAAAGGGAGCGUAGGCGGACGCUUAAGUCAGUUGUGAAAGUUUGCGGCUCAACCGUAAAAUUGCAGUUGAUACUGGGUGUCUUGAGUACAGUAGAGGCAGGCGGAAUUCGUGGUGUAGCGGUGAAAUGCUUAGAUAUCACGAAGAACUCCGAUUGCGAAGGCAGCCUGCUGGACUGUAACUGACGCUGAUGCUCGAAAGUGUGGGUAUCAAACAGGAUUAGAUACCCUGGUAGUCCACACAGUAAACGAUGAAUACUCGCUGUUUGCGAUAUACAGUAAGCGGCCAAGCGAAAGCGUUAAGUAUUCCACCUGGGGAGUACGCCGGCAACGGUGAAACUCAAAGGAAUUGACGGGGGCCCGCACAAGCGGAGGAACAUGUGGUUUAA
rnacentral:rRNA from 1 species